rnacentral:rRNA from 1 species
GAUGAACGCUGGCGGCGUGCCUAAUACAUGCAAGUCGAGCGAAUGGAUUAAGAGCUUGCUCUUAUGAAGUUAGCGGCGGACGGGUGAGUAACACGUGGGUAACCUGCCCAUAAGACUGGGAUAACUCCGGGAAACCGGGGCUAAUACCGGAUAACAUUUUGAACCGCAUGGUUCGAAAUUGAAAGGCGGCUUCGGCUGUCACUUAUGGAUGGACCCGCGUCGCAUUAGCUAGUUGGUGAGGUAACGGCUAACCAAGGCAACGAUGCGUAGCCGACCUGGGAGGGUGAGCGGCCACACUGGGACUGGGACACGGCCCAGGCUCCUACGGGAGGCAGCAGUAGGGAAUCUUCCGCAAUGGACGAAAGUCUGACGGAGCAACGCCGCGUGAGUGAUGAAGGCUUUCGGGUCGUAAAACUCUGUUGUUAGGGAAGAACAAGUGCUAGUUGAAUAAGCUGGCACCUUGACGGUACCUAACCAGAAAGCCACGGCUAACUACGUGCCAGCAGCCGCCGUAA